rfam:Penicillium marneffei ATCC 18224 scf_1107713383897 genomic scaffold, whole genome shotgun sequence.
GGCAAGAUGGCCGAGCGGUCUAUGGCGGAUGUCUCAAGGUUACUUAUAGAGGGCUCACCCUUUAUAAUAUGAUCCAUAUAUUCUCCUAUAUAUGAGUAUGCAUCUCUCGCAAGAGGCGUGGGUUCGAAUCCCACUCUUGUCA